CAGAACGGGUUUAUUUAUAAGUAGCAACAUACAAGUCAACAAAUAAAAAUUUAAAUUAUUACAAAAAAAAGUGAGUCACAUUUAGUGGCAGAGUUAUCGCCUAACCGGGUUCAAAUGGAUCUUCACUUAAUUAAGGGUUUACCGACAUCUCACUACUACGACCCGACCCGUUGGGAAACCACAAUCACUGAAAGCUGGAAGUCGGACAUUUUUCAACCUUUAAGGAACACUUAUGAACCACCCAAUGAACAGUUGUUGUUGUUAUUUGUGUUAGCGGCAUAAAACAUUCCCCAAAUAGUUUUAAGAAAUCUGAAUGAUUUAACAAUCCUUGGCCGAAUAAGUGGAUAUUGUUUUUAUAUCCAUUAUCCAGCUGAAACGGAAGGUAUAAGUCUAGUUGUCGUCGAAGUCAUCUAACGGAAAGCCCAGGAAACGAACUGUUUCGACAGGGUCGGACCAUAGGGUGAGAGAUGUUAGAUGAGUCCGUUCUCACGACAGUCGGUUCUACGUAACCGGAAUGUACUCGGAUUUUUAUCCGGCCAAGGACUGUCAAAUCGGCAGAAUUCCUCAAAAUUAUUUGGGGAAUCUUUUAUGCCUCUACAAUAACAACAACAGGUGGUAGAUGAGUCCGGUCGUGGGAACGACAGUCACAGUCGUCGCUAUUCAAUACCAAACUCGAGUGUGUAUAGUUCUCAUAUUAUCCUUUGCAUUUAUUGAUUUAUAUGGUUUGUUGUAUUUGUAUUUUUUAUUAGCAAUAAUUUCUGAUAUAUUUAUGUAUGUAUGUAUGUAAUGUAUGUGGUAUGUACGUACGUAUAAUAAAUUGUAAUGUUUAAAUUUAAAAUUAAAUACAUAUUACAAAAACAAAAAAAGUCCAUUGAUAAGCGUUUUCAUUUAUAUGAAUCAUAGAAUCAUUUUUCUUUGCAAAAAACUUGGCAUUUCAGCAAAUUCAUUUGCGCGAGGCAGUUGGACGAAAUGAAUUUGCCCGUUUGUUUUUUUUUUUAACAUAAGGAAUAAUAUUAAUAAUAGUAUUAAUAAUACAAAGUAACAUUAGGUAACUAUUUAAAUACGAAGACUAACAACUAGGAAAGUGGCGCGUACGAGCCUGCACCCUUCGUAAGGGUGGCGGCAGCGUUUACGCGAAAAAUACACAUUUACAUAUGCUAUUGAUUUUUUGUUGUUGUAAUAUACAUUAGCAA